rnacentral:tRNA from 19 species
GGGGGUAUAGCUCAGCUGGGAGAGCGCUUGACUGGCAGUCAAGAGGUCAGCGGUUCGAUCCCGCUUAUCUCCACCA